GGGUUCCUUCACAGAAAGGUUCCUUACAGGAAUAAUGAAUAGUAACAGGAGCAUGCACUUCAAGUCUCUGCUGUCAGCAACAAUAGCAGGCAGGCAAGCCAAUGGCAGAAAGGGAGAAGAGCUGCAGAAGACAAGGCUGCAACUCGGUCCAGCAGCAGCUUGGCUUUUGUGUCCUCUCUUCCUUCUAAAAAGGCAUUUGGAAUUUAAGGGAAGUUCUAUGAUGACAGAAACAGCGGGCAGGAGGAGAUGGGAAUAACUAUAAAGAAGCAAUUUUCUUGUGAAGUUUGGUGGUUUCUGAAAACCCUGGACGUUGGAGUCAAGUGAAGAGACGAGAAGUUUAGCUUUCAUUUUUUUAAAUAAUAAAGCAUGUUUUUAUCUGUUGUGGUUGUGGUGGAUGCUUAAAAAUGUGACUGAAGCCUCUGAAGCUAAUUGGCAAAUAAAAAGAACUGCCCCACACUUCUCUUUGUUGUUUUUCAUUCUAUGAUUAGUGAAUGAUUGGGGUUAGUAAUCCCCAAUUAGUCUUAUAAUUCUUUAUAGAUUAUUAUUCUUUAUAAGAUUAUUAAAGAAUUAUUCUUUCUUUAAAAUAUACUUUUCUUUCCAUGUUCUUGGUACAGAAGAUUUUAUAGCUCAGGUGUGAAGAU